UACGUGCUGCCUCACUUCGUUUGCAUUUCAUUUGCUUAUUCCAGAUAAAAGCAGCUUGUUGUGCUGCGUUAGCCCUGGGAGUGUGGAGGACCCACCUGCCAGACCCCGCUGGGCUGGGGAAGGGGUAAGGCUUGCACCCCUCAGCGCACAGAGGAGAAGCAGCCCCGGGGAGGCUCAUCCAUCGUGGGGACGUGCCCCACAGAUGCUGGCACCUGGGGAAGGUUGCAGAGCUGGCUGCCCUCCAGCCGUGAGGAGGUCUGGCCUCCUGCUUGCUCCCCACAGGGCUCCCGGCGGCACAUCCAGCCUGUCUGCUUGCCUGGUCUGACGCCAGCUGAGCAAGGCAGCCUUCAGCCUCCCUCAAGGUCUGCCUCCAUGCCCCAAACCAGCACUCACACCUGUGCAACAGGAGAACAAAAAGCACCCGGGUGUUACCCGAGCUGUGCCAGCACCCUGGACUGACUGAAUGAACCAUCCCUUCCCUACACCCUCAUCAUCCUGAUGCUCUGGGGCCCCUGCUGCUCAUGCAUUGUUCACCACGCAGCAGGAGCACAGGACCUCGAGGCACGCAGCUGUGCUACCAGCUCUUGGCUGAGCCUUAGUGCGCUCGCCCUACCCCACACCAGGUCCCCGGGGCCAUGUAGCCAGUCGCCAGGAGAAGUGUUGGUGGCUGUCCCCUGAAACAGGCUGAGCCUUGCUGGUGGUGGCUUGCCAUCUCCCACCUUGUUUGCUUUCCAGGGUUUUAUACCUCUUCCCUUAGCAUUUACAUCUUGGAGCCUUGUGUUGCUAGCUGUUAUGAUCUUGGCAACUUUAGCUCUCUGUGUUUUUACUUUCCUUAUUGCGCCUGCCUUUAGUCGGUGUGUUUUCUCACAGUGCAGCUGCAGUUUUCUCAGCAAAACCAAGCCAGGGUCACACAGCCAGGGCAGAGGCAGCUGGAACCAGGGCCAUCGGUACCCCUGUGUGCCCAGGAGAAGGACAGAUGGACUUGGGGCAAGCUAUCACCAGUGCAUGCUCUGCUGGGACAACAGCAGGUCCUGGGCCCCCAGCCCACCUCCUGGAGCAGAUAUCACCCAGGAUCCUGCCAGGCCGGGAGAGAUGCCACAGCUCUCCAGAUCUGCGAGCGUGCCAGUAAAAGGCAGCACAUCCAGCCCCAGAUGCCAGACACAAGGAGCUUGGCUGGCCACAAGCAAACACAAAUGAUUAAGAAGCUGUUUUACCUUGGCAUCUGUUUCAACUUGUUGCAUGCUCUUCUGUCAUGCAGUUAGCUUUUUAUUUUUUCUUGUUUAUUUUUUUUACCCUGCAAAAAUUCACUGGUGAGGAACUUGUGAUUUAUUUUAGCUGAGGCAGGCGCCAGCAUCACCUUGCUGCAGCAGCUGGGGAUGGAAGAAAAGAACUGGCAUCGUGCAACAGGAGAUGAAAGCCGCAAGGCUGCUCCAGCGGGGCAGCCGAGCU